rnacentral:miRNA from 2 species
UUUCCGUACGUAGCACAUAUGU